CCUACGGGACGCACCAGUGGGGAAUAUUGGACAAUGGGCGAAAGCCUGAUCCAGCAAAGCCGCGUGUGUGAAGAAGGUCUUCGGAUUGUAAAGCACUUUCGACGGGGACGAUGAUGACGGUACCCGUAGAAGAAGCCCCGGCUAACUUCGUGCCAGCAGCCGCGGUAAUACGAAGGGGGCUAGCGUUGCUCGGAAUGACUGGGCGUAAAGGGCGCGUAGGCGGUUUAUGCAGUCAGAUGUGAAAUCCCCGGGCUUAACCUGGGAACUGCAUUUGAGACGCAUAGACUAGAGGUCGAGAGAGGGUUGUGGAAUUCCCAGUGUAGAGGUGAGAUUCGUAGGUAUUGGGAAGAACACCGGUGGCGAAGGCGGCAACCUGGCUCGAUACUGACGCUGAGGCGCAAAAGCGUGGGGAGCAAACAGGAUUAGAUACCCUCGUAGUC
rnacentral:rRNA from 1 species